UCCAGUGUUUAUUUUGAAUUAUAGUUUCUUUUUGGAUAUUCUAUUGGCUUGGUAUUAAGUGCAUAAUUUUCACACUCAUAGACCAGUAGUGUUUGAUAAUAUAGCUGAAAGAGCUGAAUAAUAUUGUUUUCCUUUCUGGUUCUUCCCUUUUCUCAAUCUUCUUCUUCUAUCUUCUCCUCUGGUGCAUUUACAAAAUACUCUUGGUUCUGUAUUCUAGAGAGUACUAUAAUUUCUCUGUUCUUAUAUUUUAUUAGAGAAUGUUGAAACAUCGAUUUAGAUUUCGAGCAUCAAUUUCUGAAAUUUUACUAUUCUCCAUUCCAAGUGAUCGUGGAGUUCUACUUCAUACGUGGAAGUGGAAAUUUGAAACGACAAUACGAUGCGAACACACCUCCAAAGAAUGAAGAAGGUAUCAUCGAAUGUGAAAAGGUUCUACAUUGUUGUGUCAGAUGAACAAACAUGGCAUGUCCCUUGAUAACUCAGAAAAAAUGAACAAAAAAAUUGUUGGUAUUACUGGAUUUCCGUCUACAUUAUUGGAAUUUGCUUCCUCUUUUCGAGGUUUUACAAGUAGAUGCGCUCCAGAAACUUGAAAACAUGAAGGAACAACGGCUUGCAAUAGAAAUAUGCUAUUUCAUACUAGAUAUGCACAAAUAUCACCAGAAAGAAAUCAACUAUUCUAUGGCAACAGCAAGCUAAAAGAGCUGAAUCAAAAGAACGGCGACUCUUGCAGAAUUCAAAUAAUACACUGUCUUCAUCACAAGCAAAGUGUGCUUCCAACUUCUGAUCCUUCGUUAGCUAGAGACAAAGGUCGUUUAUGAAUGCGAUUUGGAGGAAAGUGAAGAUGGGAGAGUUUUUGUUGGGUAGAUUGGUGUUGAAUUUAAAAGUUUUUGUUGAAGUUGGCAGAUGCCAUUGAGUAGAAAUGUUUUGAGUUAGUUGUGUUUUUAUUUACAACUCUACUGACAUAGAUGUGAUUUUUAUAUUUAAUGAAUGAUCUUGUUCAAAUUAAUGUUUU